rnacentral:rRNA from 1 species
AACAGGAUUAGAUACCCUGGUAGUCCACGCCCUAAACGAUGUCUACUAGUUGUCGGGUCUUAAUUGACUUGGUAACGCAGCUAACGCGUGAAGUAGACCGCCUGGGGAGUACGGUCGCAAGAUUAAAACUCAAAGGAAUUGACGGGGACCCGCACAAGCGGUGGAUGAUGUGGAUUAAUUCGAUGCAACGCGAAAAACCUUACCUACCCUUGACAUGGAUGGAAUCCCGAAGAGAUUUGGGAGUGCUCGAAAGAGAACCAUCACACAGGUGCUGCAUGGCUGUCGUCAGCUCGUGUCGUGAGAUGUUGGGUUAAGUCCCGCAACGAGCGCAACCCUUGUCAUUAGUUGCUACGAAAGGGCACUCUAAUGAGACUGCCGGUGACAAACCGGAGGAAGGUGGGGAUGACGUCAAGUCCUCAUGGCCCUUAUGGGUAGGGCUUCACACGUCAUACAAUGGUACAUACAGAGGGCCGCCAACCCGCGAGGGGGAGCUAAUCCCAGAAAGUGUAUCGUAGUCCGGAUUGGAGUCUGCAACUCGACUCCAUGAAGUUGGAAUCGCUAGUAAUCGCGGAUCAGCAUGUCGCGGUGAAUACGUUCCCGGGUCUUGUACACACCGCCCGUCACACCAUGGGAGCGGGUUUUACCAGAAGUGGGUAGCCUAACCGCAAGGAGGGCGCUCACCACGGUAGGACUCGUGACUGGCGUGAAGUCGUAACAAGGUA